UCCCUAGUACGAGAGGAAUGCCCCCCGCCUCGGCGGGGGGAGGAAAGUCCGGACAGCUAAAAGGAAGGGUGACUGGGGAAACCCAGUCCUCCGGUAGGCAACUACCGGGGCGCGAUAGGGCCACAGAGACGAUUAAAGGUGAAACGUUCCACCGUUAGGUGGAGAUUCUUUAAAAGUAAUUUUAAAGGAGUGGUAACCCGCCCCGCUGCAAUCGACGAAUUGGGAUUAAGGUGCCUUUUCUAUCCCUAAAGUCUCGAGCAUAGAUAGAUAUUCCUCCACGACAGAAUCCGGCUUAUUGUACUAGGGAGCCC
rnacentral:RNase_P_RNA from 2 species